CUGGCCCCGGGGAGCUGCGGAUGCCCGCACCGAGCCAUUGUCGCUCCUCGCUCGGUCGGCGACGGACGAAGAAGUAACUGAAGUCUGAGGAUUGUCGGUGCGGAAAUGCGGGAGAGUGUUGGUGCGGGAGUAUUUGGGAGCCUGCGAAUUCGAAAGAAAAGGAAAACCCAGCUGUAGCGGAGAGCUUCUGGUUUCCCCCCUUUCACACAAAGAGGAAUCUCUGAGCAGGGCACUCACGCGCCUCCAAGUACACAAAAGCCCCUGACACGGUGCCCAGGGUUGCACUGCGUUUGUAGCGCCUCGUUAAUGAUCUUUCUUACGCACAGUUAUGCAUAUAAACGCCUCAAUCUAUUCCCCCACCAACACGCUUGGCAGAAGCCGCGUUUUCUUGUGUUUAUUCAACAAAGAACCGAGACUAUCCCAGUGCGCGUGGGGACCGAUUCUGGUCCCCUCCCGGGCUCCUGCAGCCGCACUCCGAUGGACCCGGCACAGUGUUCAGCUGGUUCGUUUCCCAGGUCCAGUCACUCUGUUUGAGGCUCCACCGUCAGUCCUGAGCGAAGGAAAAAACCUGAGGAUUAUAAGAAAUAGCUGUUCUUGAAAGUAACGUGGGAACCGUGGAAAUAACGCUACAAUUAUGAAGUUGAGGCAACUGAAGGUGUAGAACAAUUUUUCCAAGACCAGCAGCAACAUCUCCAAGGCUAAGGCGACGGGUCAGGCCGGCUUCUCCCCAUCCUGCGCUCUCCUGUGAUUUAAACUCACAUCUUUCAAAGGGACCACAUGGAGGGAAAGAAUGGGAGACUGUCAGACCGAAGCAUCUUGAAAUAAUCUUUCCCAUCAAUGAGAUGCAGAGGUGUCAGUCAGAUAGAGCUCUGUCGACCCAGGAGUUCCUGAUAAGGAAUAGGGAACUAGUAAGUCACCACCAACAGGAAGAGUUCAGGAAAGGUCGAAAGAAGACACCACGCGUC